GACGAACGCUGGCGGCGUGCUUAACACAUGCAAGUCGAACGGAAAGGCCCUGCUUUUGUGGGGUGCUCGAGUGGCGAACGGGUGAGUAACACGUGAGUAACCUGCCCUUGACUUUGGGAUAACUUCAGGAAACUGGGGCUAAUACCGGAUAGGAGCUCCUGCUGCAUGGUGGGGGUUGGAAAGUUUCGGCGGUUGGGGAUGGACUCGCGGGUUAUCAGCUUGUUGGUGGGGUAGUGGCUUACCAAGGCUUUGACGGGUAGCCGGCCUGAGAGGGUGACCGGCCACAAUGGGACUGAGAUACGGCGCAGACGCCUACGGGAGGCAGCAGGGGGGAAUAUUGCACAAUGGGCGGAAGCCUGAUGCAGCAACGCCGCGUGCGGGAUGACGGCCUUCGGGUUGUAAACCGCUUUCGCCUGUGACGAAGCGUGAGUGACGGUAAUGGGUAAAGAAGCACCGGCUAACUACGUG
rnacentral:rRNA from 1 species